rnacentral:rRNA from 1 species
ACGAAGGGUGCGAGCGUUAAUCGGAAUUACUGGGCGUAAAGAGCACGUAGGCGGUUUAGUAAGCGGAAUGUGAAAGCCCAGGGCUCAACCUUGGAACUGCAUUCCGAACUGCUAGGCUAGAGUAUGAUAGAGGUGAGCGGAAUUUCCUGUGUAGCGGUGAAAUGCGUAGAUAUAGGAAGGAACAUCAGUUGCGAAGGCGGCUCACUGGAUCAAUACUGACGCUGAGGUGCGAAAGCGUGGGUAGCGAACAGG